AUUUUCUCAAGUUAUAUCUGUUCCUCUGUGAACUCCAAAACAUUUUUUGUGUACUUUUUACUCGGGUACAAUCCUAUCAUUUUUUUGUGCUUUCUUUCCUUCUCUCAUUAUGGAACACAUGCAUAUGUCCUUUAUGUUUGAAACCUAUACAGUAAAGCUGAAGGCAAAAUGCAACUUUUUAUAGCACAAAUACUUUCUCCUGCAUACUCUGCUAAUAUUAAAGGGCUACAGACGUAGUACAUUCGCGCAUAUCAUUUAUAUUGAUAAUCUCAUUCGAUAUUCACCAUUAAUUUGAUUGCUCAGUAAAUCCAGUAAAACUGGUCAUAAAACUCUUCAAGUCUUAUUCAUUCGCAAAAUUUCAAUUCUGUUGAACGACUAUCACAAUAUGGACGACGAUCUGCUGCUUUCUUCUCAAGAAGACAAACACAUGGAAUCAUGGAACUUCCCUGGAGGAAACAACUAAAAGAAAAGCCAUUUCUCCUGCAUCAAAUAAUGGAAAGAGACCAAAACUCAAUGCUGUAGAUUCGCUGAAAUUAAUGAUAAAACGCCCGGAUGGAGAUAUUGACGAGCCGUUCUUUGAACAGUUGUCGCUUGAUAUGGUGUCUCUCCAACAAAGUAUUCCUCAGCAUGGAAAUCAGCCGGUGUUCUCGGGUUCCGGCUUCGUGCAAGGAAUAGGCUGGUUUGCAAUGAUGGACGAUUUCAGCAUAAGAUGAUUGAAAACAUCCUUAAGCGCAAUCAAAGCCAAAAAAAGUUCUACCAUUUUUUGAAAUCAUGCCCUACACAACGUUGCCUACAUUACGCAGAGCAUUUGUAUCUCUACCACUUGUACCUAGAUUAAACAAAAAUGCCCGUGCAACCAUUUUAAAUAUGUUAUCCAGAUUGAAUCCCAAUAUAAGCACUAAAUAUUGGAAGGCUCGUAUUCUUCCACCGGAAAACGGGAAGCAAUCGGUUGUAUUUUCCAUUGAUGAGAAAUCUGUUGCAAUAAUAGAAAAUCAAAGAAACAAGUAACAUUACUCACUAUCGAAAAUAUAUGUAAAAAUUUACCCACUGCAGUAACCACAAAUUGAUGACUCUAUAUACCUUCAUACUACAAUGCAUUCAAAUAUUGAACGAAUUGAAUAAAAACGCAUGCUGAAAUGAAAA